CCAUAACAGAGCAUUUGUGUGGUAAGGUGGCAAAUGGAUGCAAAGAAAGCAGCAGGCUGCAGACUUGGUUCAAACUUCAAACCUAUUUCAGAAUCUUUAUUGAAAAAAAUUAAUCACAGCAUCUCAACUGUUAUUCAAACACAUUUAAUAAACAAAGAGAAACAGUAGCAAAGGGCACUGACAUGUGACAAACUGUACAAAACCUCCGGGUUUGCAGGCAAACCUGAGGGGAGGAGCCCACGGCCCAGCUGCAGGUCUGGGGAGCUGCUCCGUCCCAUCGCCCUGCAGCUCACCAUGCCCCCCUUUGCCUCAGCCCACUCAGUCACCCCUGAGAAGAUCGAUUUUUUUUUUUUUUUUUUUAAAUGUGCAGAAACAAAGACACUUUAAGAAGUUAUUUCCAGUCUUGCUGUAAUGGAACAAUUUAGGCCACUGGGAAACAAACAAGGUCAUACUCUCCGUUCCCAGGGCUAAUGCUUUAAAGUGAACCUUUCCAAGAGAUGCAGGUGCCCUUAGAUAUCCAGCAGAUCUCCUACCCCUGCUCAUCCACCCUACUUGCCAAAACAUGCUACCUUCUUUAGAGUGAAUGGGACAAAUUUUAACUUAGUUCAGUUUUAGUUUGAUAGAGUUGUGACUGAGUGAAAGGCAAUGGAAGGAAAAGCCCUGUCUUGAGCACAGAAGAGAUGCAACCGGUGCAUAAUGCUGAGAUCAGUCCAUGGUCUCAGGGUAAAGGUGACCUAGCGCAGUCAGGAAAGAGGAGAAAUCCUCCACUGGGAAUGUACCUGCUCUGGAUGACUUCAUGCCUGGUCCUAAAUAUCACGCAAGAACUUGAGAGCAUCCAGUAACUAUCAGAUCAGUUUUUUAACAUGUAACUUGUUCUGUCGAAUUUAAAGAUGAGGUGAUUGAACCCAAGGAGACUUAAAUCCCUUGGCAUGUCCCUACUGCAGAGAGCAGUGUGGAGGGGAAAAACAAGAUGUAACUUCAAUAGCCUUUCUUGUGCAUGUGAGUUUAAGAAUAGCUGUUCCACUCAACUGGUAAUGGUAAUUGUUAGGCCCUCUGUGGCUCAGGGGAGAGUGAUGAGAUGGGAAGCCUGCCUAUUUCUAUCUCAAAACUUUAAGGAGACCACAGGCAGCUGAAUUCCUCCAGAAAGGAGCCAAACUCCUCAGUCCAGGUGAGGAAUUUUCUGAUACUUUAUUAAGACACAACUGCUCUGAACCUGUCAAUGUCUGUGAAUUCUAGCAUCUCUGAAGCUUUGUGUUUAAUGUCAGUUUGGGAUUCAAAAGACCCAGGUGCCAGGACACUUGGGCUACAAAGAACAAAGCCAGGAUGAAAGGGGAGAAACAUGCAGCAAAUUCCUAAGAAAUUCCAUUCACCAGACUAGGAGGGACAUGCCCCUGGUUAGGGAUGGCACAGUUUAACAGAGGGGACCAGUGACUGCAGUUUGGUUAAGAUAAGAAUUCAAGAGAGGCACAAAUGAACAUUUUGCACAUCCAUCCAAGGCAUUCCAAAAAAAGGAAAGAAAAGUCACAGACGUUGACACGUCACUUUGGACAAGAAACAUUACAACAGUUUGGCAACUUUUCACCAAUACCCCCCUCCCCCAACUCUGUGAAGCCCCUCUACUUUGAGGUGAACUCUUAAUGGUGGGGACAUGAGGGGGCUGCAGAUAAAUCACUGCAUGUAAAUGGGGGAUCUCCUCCGCAAAGAAUCAUAUGGGCUAAAACAAACCUACCUGCUUGCUACAGUAGAAAAGAAAUCCUGCCUGAAGUCCUCCCUUGGUGAGGAGAAAGGAGACAGAGCCCACGCUGCUGGAGACAAACAAGGCAAAGCUGAACUUGGCAGCAACAAGUCCCUAACCUUGUGACUUUGCACCAGGCUAAGAUAAGAUAUGGCCGUGGCAAGAUAUCGGAGGGGAAGAAGAUGUCGCCACUCUUCAAUCGAGAAGUAUAAAGGACAGGACUACUACUCUAUAGCCAUUCUGGAGGAACACAGGUCUCUCUGUUUACGCAUGAGAGGAGAUGGGCUUUGGAAAAUGCCAGGAGCCCAUAUGUAAUAGUGUUAACAGCAAGACCCAUGUUAGAUGUAC
rnacentral:lncRNA from 1 species